rnacentral:rRNA from 1 species
GACGAGCCUCACGAACGUUAUUCGGAAUUACUGGGCUUAAAGGGUGCGUAGGCGGCGCGGUAAGUUGGGUGUGAAAUCCCUCGGCUCAACCGAGGAACUGCGCCCAAAACUACCGUGCUCGAGGAAGAUAGAGGUGAGCGGAACUUACGGUGGAGCGGUGAAAUGCGUUGAUAUCGUAAGGAACACCCGUGGCGAAAGCGGCUCACUGGGUCUUUUCUGACGCUGAUGCACGAAAGCUAGGGGAGCAAACGGG